UACGGGGGGGGCAAGCGUUGUUCGGAAUUACUGGGCGUAAAGGGCUCGUAGGCGGCCAACUAAGUCAGACGUGAAAUCCCUCGGCUUAACCGGGGAACUGCGUCUGAUACUGGAUGGCUUGAGUUCGGGAGAGGGAUGUGGAAUUCCAGGUGUAGCGGUGAAAUGCGUAGAUAUCUGGAGGAACACCGGUGGCGAAGGCGGCAUCCUGGACCGACACUGACGCUGAUGAGCGAAAGCUAGGGGAGCAAACGGG
rnacentral:rRNA from 1 species